rnacentral:rRNA from 1 species
AUUGAACGCUGGCGGCAUGCCUUACACAUGCAAGUCGAACGGCAGCACGGGUGCUUGCACCUGGUGGCGAGUGGCGAACGGGUGAGUAAUACAUCGGAACAUGUCCUGUAGUGGGGGAUAGCCCGGCGAAAGCCGGAUUAAUACCGCAUACGAUCUACGGAGGAAAGCGGGGGACCUUCGGGCCUCGCGCUAUAGGGUUGGCCGAUGGCUGAUUAGCUAGGUGGUGGGGUAAAGGCCUACCAAGGCGACGAUCAGUAGCUGGUCUGAGAGGACGACCAGCCACACUGGGACUGAGACACGGCCCAGACUCCUACGGGAGGCAGCAGUGGGGAAUUUUGGACAAUGGGCGAAAGCCUGAUCCAGCAAUGCCGCGUGUGUGAAGAAGGCCUUCGGGUUGUAAAGCACUUUUGUCCGGAAAGAAAUCCUUGGCCCUAAUACGGUCGGGGGAUGACGGUACCGGAAGAAUAAGCACCGGCUAACUACGUG